GACGAACGCUGGCGGCGUGCUUAACACAUGAAAGUCGAACGAUGAAGCCGGAGCUUGCUCCGGUGGAUUAGUGGCGAACGGGUGAGUAACACGUGAGCAAUCUGCCCUUGACUCUGGGAUAACUGCGGGAAACUGUAGCUAAUACCGGAUACGACACCUUGGGGCAUCCCAGGGUGUGGAAAGAAUUUCGGUCAAGGAUGAGCUCGCGGCCUAUCAGCUAGUUGGUGAGGUAAUGGCUCACCAAGGCGACGACGGGUAGCCGGCCUGAGAGGGUGACCGGCCACACUGGAACUUAGACACGGUCCAGACUCCUACGGGAGGCAGCAGUGGGGAAUAUUGCACACUGGGCGAAAGCCUGAUGCAGCAACGCCGCGUGAGGGAUGAAGGCCUUCGGGUUGUAAACCUCUUUUAGCAGGGAAGAAGCGAUAGUGACGGUACCUGCAGAAAAAGCACCGGCUAACUACGUGCCAGCAGCCGCAGUAA
rnacentral:rRNA from 1 species